GUCUAUUUUCAAAUGGAUAGGGUAUAGGUUUUCUAAACCUUUGAUAGAAGUUUCAAAUCCUAUUGGA
rnacentral:tRNA from 1 species